AUCAGAUUGCAAUUCUGAAGGUGUAUAAAUUACUAAGGCCUAAAAUAUUAAUAUAUUUUAUAUAUAA
rnacentral:tRNA from 1 species